rnacentral:tRNA from 1 species
CUCACAGCCAAAUGGUUAGCACCUGACUCAUAAUCAGGGAGUCCUUGGUUCAAGCCCAAGUGGGACCA